UUGGCUGUCCUGGAACUCACUCUGUAGACCAGGCUGCCUCCCAAGUGCUGGGAUUAAAGGUGUGCACCAAUACGCCCGGCUGCAGUAGGAUUUUUAUUUUAUUUUUUAAUGAGACAGGGAUUCUAUGCCAGGCUAUCCUAGAACUCACUAUAUAGACAAACUGCCCUCAAAUUCAAAAGAGCUCUGCUUGCCUCUGCUGCUUCCCAAGUUCUGGGAUAUUGAAAAAAAAUUUUUUUUUAAAUUAGCAUUUGCGUGAAGUAUAUAGGGUUGGUUUCUGUCUUCUACAUAAGCACUUUUACUUUCAUUUUCUGUUUUGAGAUAGUUUGAGUACAUAGCUCUGGCUAGCCUAGUACCUAAUGUAAACUAGGGUGUCAAACUCAGAUUUACCUGUUGGCUUUCCAGCUUCUGGAGUUAAAGGGACAAGCUACCGUGUGUAGCUUUACUGUUGCUUUUUUUUUUUUUUUAAGAUCUAUUUAUUUCAUGUAUGUGAGUUCAUGAAAUAAAUAGUGAUAGUACACUGUCACUAUCUUCAGACACACCAGAAGAGGGCACCGGGUCACCAUUACAGAUGGUUGUGAGCCACUAUGUGGUUCCUGGGAAUUGAACUCAGGACCUCUGGAAGAGCAAUCAGUGCUUUUAACCGCUCAGCCAUCUUUCCAGCCCCAUGUGUAGCUUUAAAGUAUUUCUCUUAUAAACAUUGUUACUGUUUUUUGGUUUGGUUUGGUUUGGUUUGGUUUGGUUUUUGUUUUUGAGACAGUUUCUCCAUGUAGUCCUGGCUGUCUUGGAACUCACUACAUAGACCUGGCAGGCCUAGCACUCAGAACAGCUUGCCUUUGCAUACUGAGUGCUGGGGUUAAAAGGUGUGCACCCUUGACUCCCUGCACUUAAAUUCCUGGGUGUGCCAGACAUGAAGGCUGAUUGCUGUAAUUCCAGCAAGGGUGGGGCGAUCAGGGCCAAGAUGGGAUUACUACAAAGAUGAGGCCAUUCUGGGCUGCAUAAUAAAUUCCAGAUCAGCCUGGACUAUAAAGUGAAACAGCCUCUAAUCACGGGUAGCUGGUGAGAUGGCUCAGUGGUUCAAGGCACCUGCCGGCCAAGCCUAACGACCUGAGUUUGGUCUACACAGUGAAAAGACUGAUUCUUGCUGGUCAGCUUCUGAUGGCUACACUCAUGCAGUGGCAUGCAGGUACCAACAUGUGUAGCCACAUGCACACCCGGAUGUUAAAGUCAGGGUGGAAGUAUGUCCAGUUUCAAUCUUUAAGUGCCAUCACUUAGAGAAUGGAGGCAACGUGGAGACAUCACAUGAUCUAACAGACUGAAGUACACACUUGUCAUCAUCACAACCUUAUGAACUCCAUGGGCUUAGCCUCCUUAAGACAAUGCUACUCACACUCCUGAAUAUUCUUUUGAGUACUUGGAGAAAACAGGGUUUUUUAGAUUUGUUUAUGCUCUGUGUAGGAAGGGGAUUUCAUGGUAUCUUCCUCAAUCAGUUUUCUCUCCUCGAGGCAGGGGGUUCUCACUGAGUUUGGUGUUCACAGAGUCAGCUAGACUGGCUGAUGACACUCAAGCUCCUUCUGUAUUUGCCACCCCAGUGUGCUGGGAUGAGGGCCAUGCUGUGCCCUCUUUUUUAUUUUGGGUGCUGGGAGCUCAAGUCAUCAUUCUUGUAUGACAAGGAAUUCACUGGACACCAGUGAACUGAAUGGAGAGGGUGUUAUUUUUUUUAAACUAGACUUGAUCCUCCUGUCUCAGCCUCCUGAUGACUGAGAUUAUGGGUGUGUGGUACCACAUCCUACUAGAAAACAAGUGCUCCCAGGGGGUCAUUUGCUGAGUCAGGUUGUUUGAGACAAUGGCUUUUCAUGUUGCUUCUGAGGCCCCUGUCUGGCGCUACCUGAACUGUGGCCUUGAAGCAGGACAUAAAUCCGAUUCCCAGUAAAAAUAACACUUGCCUUGACAAAGGGCAGCUGUUUAUGCUAGAGAUGAAUUUUUUUUUCCAUUUAGAACCCUAGACUAAUGCUGACUGGAAAUUACUUUUAUUUUUUUAUAAGACAGGGUUUCUCUGUGUAGCCCUGGCUGUUCUGAAAUGCAACUCUGUAGACCAGGCUGGCCUCAAACUCAGAGAUGGCUUAUCUCUGCCUCUUAAGUGCUGGGAUAAAAGGCGUGCGCCGUCACACUUGGCUGGAAAUUACUUCAAUGUUUAAAAUUAAAUAACUUGUUUCUUGUAUUUAAUAGUGGGGGUUGAACCCAGACCUUUGUAUACACGACCCACAAGUUUUGCCCUAGUUUCUCUGUCCUAUUUUAUUAAAAAAUAAAAAUAGAGUCAAACAAUAGACAACAAUGUUGAGGAGUUGAGAUGGGGAGGCUGGUUGAGUUUUUAGACCUUUCUGUCUGGUUCUUUGCUAGUAAAAUCUACCCUCAAAUAUUUAGUAAAAUGGCUCCUUGGGUCUCUGCUCGAAAUUUCUAUAAAGUAGCUUUUUGGUGCACUUAAGUACCCACAAUUCUUAGCAAGAAAGGCACCCCCCACCCCCGCUGACGUCGUGGCUGCUGAUUGGUUGGUGUUGGUGCUGGCCACCUGUAGUUGAGUGGGAAGCUGAGACCAGGCAGUCGCCAUGAUUGCCUUUGGGGCUCCGCGACGCCGAAGCUUCGGGCUCCUUUUCUCCUUGGCUCCACACCUCUUCUUCCUGUUUUUAAUUGGGACCCUGGCCAACAAACUCAAUGUGCCUCAAGUGUUACUACCUUUCAGCCGGGAGCCAGGCCGGGUGCCCUUCUUGCUAGAGGCGCAGCGGGGCUGCUACAUCUGGUGAGCGAACCGGGUGCAGAGAUCUCGACACCACAGUGAAGAGGAAAAGGAUUACAGGAAUCUGAUGUGGUCUCACCAUGUGGAGGGGCCUGUAUGUGGCAUCCUUGGGUGGGAUAUAAUAAGUUGUGAGGCUUUUUAAGGAAAACAAAAAACAAAAACCACCACCACC
rnacentral:lncRNA from 1 species